AUUAACAAAGGAACAAAGUCACAAUCUUAUCGGGCUGAUGCAGACCCGAUUCAUUGGCAUGCAGAGUGGUGUGCGUCCGUAUGUGUCUCGCCAGGCAGUCGGCGCCCGUCGAGGUUGCCGUCGUCACCUUUGCAGUGCCACCAUCUGCUGCCUCAUAUGAACCAUGGCCCUGAUGUUCCUCCCGCCGCCCUGAGGCUGAAAUUCCGGUGCUCUGACCUUCUCAGAUAAGCUUUAUCUUUGGUUUCCUGUGAAGAUUGAGUGCAUCUUUAGCAAAUUGGACAAAUAUUGCUUGCCAUCCCACAAAAAUGAGAAACUGAGUAGAAUCAAACUCUAAGCUGUUCACAAAAUUUCACAUAUAUUCUCAUCCCUUUGAUAAGAUGCUGGUUUUCAUAGUUUUAGCUAUAGGAAGCUUGGAGAGUAUAAGGAUGCAGAGAUUAUCAGAUAAUCUGCUGAUCUGAGACAAUUCAGCUCAUCAGCAUCUUAUCAGAGAGAUGGGAAUAUAUGUGAUCUGAUGUGGACAAUUCAGCUCACCAGCAUCUUAUCAGAGAGAUGAGAAUAUGUGUGAAACUUUGUAAACAGCUUGGAGUUUGAUUCUACUCAGUUUCCCAAUUUUAUGGGAUAGCAAACAACAUUUGUUCAAUUUGUUAGCUAUACACUCAAUUUUCACAGGGGAACCAAAGAUAAAACGGUUUCAUCUCCAAUUAGAUAAUUACCGGUUUAGACUAACUGAUGCCACUUAUUAGAUAAUUACUGAAGAUGGAAGACUCAGAACUUUCAGAAAGUUUUGCAUGAUAAGUAUCCAGACAUCUGAUGCGAUUGUUGGAUGACAGACUUCAUAACUCAUUGUAUUCUCACCUCAAAACUAUUGCAUUUGCAAGGAAUCUGAUAUGAUCCAAAGGUAGCCGCCAGUGCCUUAAAAAUCAGUGCUUCCUUUGCCGUUAUGUCUCUAUCUCUCUCCUUUGCUUCCUCUUUGCAACUAUCCCCAAGUUGAAACUAAGGAUUAUGAAGAUUGGUUCUGGUUCUGGCUCUGGCUCUGGCUCUAAUGACCGUGAUUACCAGCAAGAUCAAGAUGACUUCUUCAUCGAUUCAGUUCUUCGCUCUUACAAGAAUAACCGUGUAUGCACCAUUUGCCAGGAACCGGUGGUUGAUAUAAGCAUGCGUUCCAUAGCUAUCCUAAAAUGCACACAUGUGUACCAUUUAGACUGCAUUGGCUCUGCAUUCAAUUUUAAGUAUGCAAUGGAAUGUCCAACUUGUCGCCACCAGGAACGUGGGGAGUGGCUUUAUGCUGCUAGAGAUCGUUCAAGAGCUCGAGCUCAUGCUUUUCGAUUUGAGCCAUGCCAAGUGCAGCCUGUGCAGAUAAAUUGGAAUGCAAUACCUAGGAUUUGGACCUCUUGAUCGUUUGGUCAGGGGCAGGCAACCAAAUCUGCAGAGCAGUAAGGACAUUGUUGAAACAACUUCAUGAAUUUGAUUUAUUCAAAACUUUUUGCAUGUUUUGUUAUUGAAACUUUUAACUGCAAAGGUAACCCAGCACAUGGAGAAGAUACACCGGUGGGCUCACACCAGCAAAAUAACGCUCAAUAGCUCCAGCUACAGACGCUAUAGAUAACUUGCUCUCUUGAUAUGGUCCACCACCUCAGCCUUCAUUCAUAAUUAGGCAAUCAUCAAGGGAGCACCAAAACACUAGUUCAUUAUACGAAUGUAUCUUGGACCGAGAGAACUAGCUCAAGCCCAAUCAGGGAGAAUGCCGAUCAUGGCACACUUGAGUUGUUUUUGAACAUCCAGGGAAAUGAAGUUGGUUGACAAGACUUUGCUUUUACCUAAUUCCUCACUUCUCUUCUUGGGUAAUAAUCAUCAUUGAACUUUUAUGUCAGUCAAAACGUGUACGUGAACCUGAUACUGA